GAUGAACGCUGGCGGCGUGCCUAAUACAUGCAAGUCGAGCGAACGGACGAGAAGCUUGCUUCUCUGAUGUUAGCGGCGGACGGGUGAGUAACACGUGGAUAACCUACCUAUAAGACUGGGAUAACUUCGGGAAACCGGAGCUAAUACCGGAUAAUAUUUUGAACCGCAUGGUUCAAAAGUAAAAGACGGUCUUGCUGUCACUUAUAGAUGGAUCCGCGCUGCAUUAGCUAGUUGGUAAGGUAACGGCUUACCAAGGCAACGAUGCAUAGCCGACCUGAGAGGGUGAUCGGCCACACUGGAACUGAGACACGGUCCAGACUCCUACGGGAGGCAGCAGUAGGGAAUCUUCCGCAAUGGGCGAAAGCCUGACGGAGCAACGCCGCGUGAGUGAUGAAGGUCUUCGGAUCGUAAAACUCUGUUAUUAGGGAAGAAUAUAUGUGUAAGUAACUGUGCACAUCUUGACGGUACCUAAUCAGAAAGCCACGGCUAACUACGUGCCAGCAGCCGCGGUAAUACGUAGGUGGCAAGCGUUAUCCGGAAUUAUUGGGCGUAAAGCGCGCGUAGGCGGUUUUUUAAGUCUGAUGUGAAAGCCCACGGCUCAACCGUGGAGGGUCAUUGGAAACUGGAAAACUUGAGUGCAGAAGAGGAAAGUGGAAUUCCAUGUGUAGCGGUGAAAUGCGCAGAGAUAUGGAGGAACACCAGUGGCGAAGGCGACUUUCUGGUCUGUAACUGACGCUGAUGUGCGAAAGCGUGGGGAUCAAACAGGAUUAGAUACCCUGGUAGUCCACGCCGUAAACGAUGAGUGCUAAGUGUUAGGGGGUUUCCGCCCCUUAGUGCUGCAGCUAACGCAUUAAGCACUCCGCCUGGGGAGUACGACCGCAAGGUUGAAACUCAAAGGAAUUGACGGGGACCCGCACAAGCGGUGGAGCAUGUGGUUUAACUCGAAGCAACGCGAAGAACCUUACCAAAUCUUGACAUCCUUUGACAACUCUAGAGAUAGAGCCUUCCCCUUCGGGGGACAAAGUGACAGGUGGUGCAUGGUUGUCGUCAGCUCGUGUCGUGAGAUGUUGGGUUAAGUCCCGCAACGAGCGCAACCCUUAAGCUUAGUUGCCAUCAUUAAGUUGGGCACUCUAAGUUGACUGCCGGUGACAAACCGGAGGAAGGUGGGGAUGACGUCAAAUCAUCAUGCCCCUUAUGAUUUGGGCUACACACGUGCUACAAUGGACAAUACAAAGGGCAGCGAAACCGCGAGGUCAAGCAAAUCCCAUAAAGUUGUUCUCAGUUCGGAUUGUAGUCUGCAACUCGACUACAUGAAGCUGGAAUCGCUAGUAAUCGUAGAUCAGCAUGCUACGGUGAAUACGUUCCCGGGUCU
rnacentral:rRNA from 1 species